rnacentral:rRNA from 1 species
AGUGAACGCUGGCGGUAGGCCUAACACAUGCAAGUCGAACGGCAGCACAGUAAGAGCUUGCUCUUACGGGUGGCGAGUGGCGGACGGGUGAGGAAUACAUCGGAAUCUACUUUUUCGUGGGGGAUAACGUAGGGAAACUUACGCUAAUACCGCAUACGACCUACGGGUGAAUGCAGGGGAUCUUCGGACCUUGCGCGAUUGAAUGAGCCGAUGUCGGAUUAGCUAGUUGGCGGGGUAAAGGCCCACCAAGGCGACGAUCCGUAGCUGGUCUGAGAGGAUGAUCGGCCACACUGGAACUGAGACACGGUCCAGACUCCUACGGGAGGCAGCAGUGGGGAAUAUUGGACAAUGGGCGCAAGCCUGAUCCAGCCAUACCGCGUGGGUGAAGAAGGCCUUCGGGUUGUAAAGCCCUUUUGUUGGGAAAGAAAAUCAGCAGGUUAAUACCCCGCUGUUCUGACGGUACCCAAAGAAUAAGCACCGGCUAACUUCGUG